UCUUCAUUGGUCUAGUGGUCAUGAUUUCCGCUUGUCACUGGCAACAGAAGCAAGCGCGGGAGACCUGGGUUCGAUUCCCAGAUGGAGAG